UACGGGGGGAGCAAGCGUUGUUCGGAUUUACUGGGCGUAAAGGGCGCGUAGGCGGCGCAACAAGUCACUUGUGAAAUCUCCGGGCUUAACCCGGAGCGGCCAAGUGAUACUGUCGUGCUAGAGUGCGGAAGGGGCUACUGGAAUUCUCGGUGUAGCGGUGAAAUGCGUAGAUAUCAAGAGGAACACCUGCGGCGAAGGCGGGUUGCUGGGCCGACACUGACGCUGAUGCGCGAAAGCCAGGGGAGCGAACGGG
rnacentral:rRNA from 1 species